CCGGGAUGUGCCAUUCUCUCACUGACUUUUUAUGAAUAAUCGUCAGGGGCUCGCUAAGUUCAUUAGCUAAUUCUAUUUAGUCUGUGGGUUACAUAUUAUCCAGACUUGCUGAUUUGUACAGAUUCAAUUUUGCCAAGUAUUCCCCUUCCUGCUCUUCAUCUCCAGGGCUGCGAGGAGCUCUGCCUUGUUUCAUGUUCACUCCGUCCUCGUUGUGAUCAUCCCUUGGGAUGGAUGGAGAGGAGGACACGAUCCCGGCCAUCUCCGUUACCUGCGUGCAGCUCAGGCAGCUAGAAUCGUUUGAGUUGGAAUGGACCCUUAAAGGCCAUCGGUGCAACCCUCUGCGAUGAGCAGGGACACCCGCAGCUCCACCAGGUGCUCAGAGCCCCCCCAGCCUGACCUUGGUGUCUGCAGAGACUGCCUGGAGCACGCAGCCCUUGGCUGGGACGUCCCAUCCGGUGCUGGCAGCAGCGAGCGCAUUCACCGGCGCUGCUGGGAGUUGGCUGCUCGGCGGCUCCUGGACGGGAAGAGAACCGAGCAAAUCCGGCUGGGUGCCGGAGAGCCAGCGGCCGCCGGGCCGUGCCCCCCCGGCCAGGACCCGCGGGGCCGGGAGGUGGCACCAGCGCUCCGCGGCUGCGGGGACUUCCCCCGGCGGGCACGGCUGCCGGGGACGUGGGCAGCUCUCGGAGACGAGGGCUGGACUGCGGGGAGGGUGGGUCCCUGCGGCUGGGCCCGGGGAGGACGGGAGGGAAGCGGUGCAAAGAGAGAGGUUGAGGGGAUUUCUGGGGUCGGGGAGGGCCUUCCUAGAGCUCGUUGAUUCAAGCCGGCGAGGAACCCCAGCGGGAGCGCAGCGCCGGGGUUUGCAGCUCUGGGGGCUGUAAUUCUGCCGGGAUUGAUGGGGCGGAGUAGCGGGGACGUCUCAGGCUGAAAUCCGCGGCUUUUAACCAAAAGCUAAUAUUCUCUUUCCAGCUGUUAAUUCCGGGAGCGGGGGUAUAAAUUAAGCCUCCAGACUCGCCGUAAUGUUCACGAGAGCGGGACAAGCGGCGUUUCCCUUCCCCACCUGUGGCACCCCCACCUGCGGCAGCGCUGCGUCCCGGGGAGCGAAGCGCAGCGAGCCAAGAGCCAAAAGCGGGGGCCGUGCUUGGUUUCACGGGGCAAAGCAGAAGGGUCGUGCAGCGUCCCCGCUGGGGUUUGCACCGACGGGCUCUGCGCUCCGGGUGCUGCGUGUGCGCAGGGAGCGCUGGAGGGAGGGGGCUGCCGGCUGGAGAACGGGCAGCGCUCAGCCGGGGGGGGGGGAACGGCGUUUCCAGACAGCGCCGCCAGCAAAAAAAAAGGGAGCAAAAUGCAAAUGAAGGCCGAUAAAAAUGUACUUGGCAGCGUCCCCUUUAAGCGCCAUAGAUUUUUAUCUCGCUCCGGUUUUAUUUUGCUGGCAAGGGAGAUGUGGAGGAAGAAACAUUCAAUUAGCUCAGCCCGCCAGCCCCCAGAUGUGCGGUGUGGGGCUGGAGCCUGGUGCAUGGGAUGGGUGCUGGGAUGUCCCCUUGCCCACCCGGUGACGUGCCAUCAUUUGAGGGCUGCGCCGAUCGCCAUGGUAACAAGAGCCGUGGUUCUGUCAGCAUCUGUUCCUCAGUGCCACCGUCCCACCUCACCCACAUGGGGCAAGAUCUCCUCCCUGCUCUACGGGACAAGUGGGGCUGGUGGGGCCAUGGGGACGUGGGCGAAGCCUCCCCAAAACCAGUGCCACCAGUGCAGAGUCAUCAGUCCUAGUUCUUACCCAGCCAAUCACCAGUGUGGACCAGUAAGCCCAGGAGGAGGGAGCGCUCCAGGGCCCGGCUGAGGAGGGGUUCUCAGAGCAGCCCUAUGUUCAGAAACAAUCAGGAACGUCCCAUUCUGCUGAUUUGUAACCACGCAAAAUGGGGGAGUGCUGGUGCAAAAGGCGUUUUUGGCUGGGAAAUGUGAGUUUGCAGUGGAACAUCUAAGGAGCGAGAUGACAGAGGACUCGGCGCUCCCUGCUCAGAAUGGCUGAAAACCACCAAAGCAGAGAGCACCGUGGUGUUGUAACGAGCAGCCAGGGCAAUGGGAAGGAAUCUGACCCCAUGGAGAGAUCUCAAGGCUUCACUGAAGGAGUGGGGGCAGAUGCAAGGAAAGCAGGUCAGGCACCGCCACGGUGCAGGGCUGCAUGCAGUGCUUCAAAGCUGCUCACUGCGAGAGGGAGAACAGCCUUCCUGUGUGUGCAAAGGACAUUUCCAGAGCUCUGGUCCUUUGAUUAGAGCAGAUCCUAAGAGAAAACGUGCCGCUGCUGGAAGGUGGGUGAAAAAAAAGAGGAGAACUGCUCCAAACUGAUGGAAACUGAGCUGCUAAUCAUCGGAGAAUAAUGAUCAAUUUAUUGGAUGUGAUACAUCUAAUGAUGAAAUACCAACUGUCUUCCCUAAUUCCUGUGACUAAUAGAGAAGGACACAGUGAAAAAGCUGGCAUGGAAAGAAAUACCAAAGCAAGGCAGCGAGCAACGGGAACAACGGGAUGAGGAGCAAAGCCUGGAACAGCCCAAGGGGAGGGGGUAAACACCUGAGCUUUACACCUGGCAAUGCCCCGUGCAUGGGCACAGCUCCAGGUGGGGGGCAGGGCUGCAGCAAGGUGCCAUCCUGCAGCACCAAGGCGUUGGGUUGGUAAGGAAUCCGCGGGACGUUCCCCAACGUGCCUUGGAAUCUUAUGGUAAAUAAUUACAUCCGAGCUGCCGUUGUCACAGUAAAUGAAGGAAAGGUUGUUCUGCUCCCCGUGCGCAAAGUACAAAUCGCAGACUUUCAGUCCCUUGGAACGCUUGCUGCUAAUGAAAGAAGAAAGAGCCAACGGGAAGCCCCCGGGUCAGGAGCAGAUCCCAAACCCUCCCCAAACGGAGCCCUUCGCUAGAUCUGACGGCACCCAAGGUGAUGGGGAACAGAUAAAAGCCUGCAAAGGCUGCAGGACCGUGGCUUGGAGGAGCCAAGGACAGACAGAUGGACUUACAGCUGCAGGACAGCCCCCAGCUGCUGCUGCAGGGCUGGGGCCACCAGCUCCGUAACACGUCAGAGCGCCGGCCCUGUAUACAUUUCUAUUUCCAGGUUUGGGAAGUAUGCAUAAAUAAACCCAGCGCGGCCCGACAGCUAUUCCCCGACAAUAAACACCUGUAAAUCGCCCGCUCACUGUGACACGCUGCUGGAGCCUGGAGUGAUGCUGAGGGUCAGAUGAGGAUCUCCCUGCCCCAAUGUGGGGCUGAGCACUGGGGACACACCUGUCCCCACCACAGCCCCUCUCCAUUCACCCACUGCCACCACCAGCUCCAGUUAUUCACCGCCAUCAGCGCACGGCUGGCUGGCCUUUAUAGCACUGUUUGCAUAAGGGAUGGUAGCAGCACGCCAACAGCAAUUAUUCCUGGAUAAAGAGGAGUGCUAAUGCUGCCGGCUGCCCCUGGGUUGCUGCAGAAGCGCUGCUUGGGGAUGCAACAGGGUGGGAACCAGCAGCAGGGAAAGAGGCAGCAGCAACCACCUACACUUACCCCAGGGGAUACUCCUGGGGUUGUUCCCAUAAACAUAUAAAUAGGGUCCAUCUGGCCUUAAUUAUUCAAAUCAGCUGGCAGGGUAAUCAAUAUAAGCAGCUAAAGGCAGCCAGGACUAAUUCUGAUGUUGCUGCAGAGCUGGGUGCGAACUCUGCUUGCUUUUAUUUUAUUUUAUUUUUUUUACUGCUAAUAUACUUCUAAUUGUACGUCGCUCUGAGGCAGCGCUAAUAAAAUGAAAUGCAAAAAAUGGGAGAGCAAACCAAGGCCUCAGCAGUGGGGGUGGCACUGGGCAGAGGGGCUGCAACCUACUGGGGCCACAGAAGGGAUGGAGAUGGCAAAAGCACCUGCUGAUGCAAGGUGCCCUGGGAAGCCCUGCCAGGUCGCAUGUCCCGGUGCUGGGGGCUGAGCUGAGGCCUUUUCCCCUCCCCCUCCUCCCCAGCCCUCAUUUUUGUCUUGCCUUAUGGCAGAGAAAUGUUUGACUUUACGGCCCCGGUUUAUAUUGCCAGGAAGUAACUUAACCGCGCUCGCUAAGCAUCGGGGCUGCAUUUCUUUUUGAUGAUUUCCAAGAUUGAUGAAGUUCUCUCGGGGAGAAGGGGAAAAACAACCAGCAAAACACGAUUCAGUGCUGGGCACAGAGAAUGCACUGAAGGACCCUGUGAAGGCGGCAGACAUCAGGGUCAGCUGCAAUUUGGGGUCAGCUGCAAUUUGGGGUCGGCUGCUCGCUGUGACCUCAGUGCUGUGAGCUGAGUGCUCCAGGAGCAGGGUCUGGAGCGAGGCUGCAGCUGGCCCUGGGCACUCACAGGCAGCAGCAAGCAGUUAUUUGCGAUUAAUUAAUUGCUGCUCCUAUUAAUUCGCUCCUGAAGACGAUGGUUGGGGGAUGAGGUCACAGCUGGCAGGGACGUUGCAGCAGGAUGUGGGGUUCUGCAGUGAACCAGAGGCAUUCAGUUUCAUAAGAAUGCAGAAGGCAGGAGCCAUUGGGAUGCCCACCCCAUGGCCGAGGGGCCCUGCACUCCUAUUUUCCCCACUGUGGACCCUUUGGGAAAUGGCAACGUUUCCACUGGCCAUGUGUUGGAUGUCCCCUCCCAUGGCAGCUGGCUGCCAUUCCCUUAACUCUGCCCCUGGACACAGCAGGUUGGAGAGGGGAGCUGGGGGUUCCACAGGGCACUGGUUGCCCCCCAUUAAUGGACAGCCCCGCACCCCCACUGCACAGCCCCAUUGCAGUAGGGCUCUCCUCUCCCCAGCGAACG